rnacentral:lncRNA from 1 species
CAAUUUGAAAAGGGAGCAGAAAUACAAACACCAAGGUGGAUUUAUGGCGAAUAAACGCUGAGAUCUGGUUGGAGCGAAGCUAUACGCAGAGCAACGCACAGAGUUCUUUGUUAAACAAAGGACGUAUAUGUAACACUAGAAUUCAGGUAAGCUUAUUAUGAAUUUCUUCAAUGUUAAAAGCUUUUAACAUUUUUUUAUAAUUAUAAGCCUGCUGCGUUCGACUGUACUGACAUUUUUAUACAAUACAGUAAAUAAAAGUACCAGUGCUAAUGGUUUUAAGAUGCCAUGGAAAUUAAGCCCUAUAAAAUGGCAGACAAAUAUUUAAACGUGUUCUUGAAAACCUAUUUUUUGUACUUUACUUAUUCUAAGGGCAGUCAGAUGCAGCCAUAUACCUAAUUUAAUACUAGUGCAUGCUUAAGACAUACCCAGGAAUAUUUGUUUUGAACACGUAAAUGGAAUCGACCAGUUAUAAGGACCGAGCCAUCAGUUAAAACUUAUACUCUAUAGUUCCUAUAAAUACGAACAUCCGGCGGACUGUCAGGACUAUAUAAAUAUAAUAUUGUGCUUGUCUGUACGCGGCUUUUAAUGGAAUAUCGUAUGCAAAAAACAUAGUACAAUCUACCCCACCAAAAUCCAACAUCACUUUUCCAUGCCUUUCUUUGUAUUGAUCAAAAACAUGUUUUUUGAUACAAGACAUUUUUUAUCCAAAAGCCCGCUUUUAGCAUAUGAAAGUUUAGCAAAGCUAUAUCUACAACGCUUGCAAAAGGUUUGAUAAUAAAUUCAGGACAAUCUUGAGUAAUUUUUAGCUAAAAAAAGUACAAAUUGCCAUGGGCGGCCCGGUUCAUUUGUCGGAUUUUGUUGUGAAGACAACACUCAUACAUUAACGUGACAGUCAUAAUUACGAGUGAUCAUUAAAGCGGUCGUAUAUUUGAAAGCCUAUUCAAAGGUUGGUUUUCACUAUCAAAAUUUCUGUGAUCACAGUAUAGGAAUUUUGCAUGGGUAAAUUGCAAGUUUUAAAGGAUUUGUAUGAAAUGUUUGGGGGGAUUGACUCGCUGGUUUAAAGGGAAUGCAUGGCAAUAUAAUUUUUUAUUUUCUCAUUUGAAAGAACCUUUGAAACUAUUUAAUAACUUCUUUUACCGAUUCUUCAUAUCCUUGCUUAGUUCUUGAAAUAUUUUCGCUUGAAGUAAUGAGAGUCCGCCAUCUUGGAUAAAUUUUUGAUUUCAUUAACGGUAGUUUCACAACCAUAUAAAAGUAUUCGUUGUUGACCAAAUACUGAUUGGUAGAUGUUUUAAAGGUUUCAAGUGAUCUUGAUAUGGCAGACAGAGUAUAGUUUUUAGUGCAAAAUGACUAGUGGUUGUCUAGAAAAAAAUAUUGCGUGACCCCUGUUGUGACGUAACAUGCAUAUCUACAAAAAUCCAAGAUGGCCGACAUUUCAUUUCAUUCGAUUAAAAUAUUUGCAGAAGUAAGCAAGAUAUGAAAAGACGGUAAAAGAGUUUUAUAAAAUAUAUUACCAUUCCGUCAAACAUUUCUUACAAAUCCUUCAAGACUUAGAAUUUACCCAUAAGCAGAAUUCCUAUUGAGUAUUGUGGCACAGAAAAAUUGAUCAAAAUCGUAAUCAGCGGCAGACAGCGCAAACACGUAAAAUUUACCGUUCACGUACGGCUCGGCGUGUUGCUAAAGCAACUAGCCAUUAUGGCUAUGCAUUUAGGUCCGUCCAGUAAGCGUUGCAGCGCAACAGACGGAAUUUAACUUCACAAAUGUCGAUAAUUAUACGCGGACAUGUCGACAUGAAAAUGAAACCGCCAAUCUCUGCUAUCUCUCAAUACAAAUACAUAAAAAAAUUUAAUGAUAAUGAUUUUCAGUCUGAUAACUGCAGGUUUACCACCGUCUGCUGCGCGAUAGCGCUCAGUGAAACCACACACCUAUUCAGCAAAAAGCCAAGGAUUUAGACAAAUAUUGAUAUACAGUGUUUAGAAAUCAAAACAGACACUAGUACUAUAGCUUAAUAGGCUCCUGCCAGGAUGAAAUAGAUCACGUAAUUCCGUCACGUACAGAAAGAAUAGUUGAAGCGCUUUCUAAAUAAUUCCCAGCCUUUAUAGCUCUAUCAGUUCUAAUCUGUUCCCCUCUGGAGGUCCAGUAAGGAUCAUCUCGCAUUGACCCAGUGUUACUACAGGAGGAAACCUAAACUAAACUAACUUUAUUUAUACUGGAUAGCUCUAUCAGUUCUAAACUGUUCUUCCUAGAGGUCCAGUAAGGAUCAUUUCUUAUUGAUCCAGUGUUACUAAUAUAUAGGAGAAAACCUACACUAAACUAACUUUAUUUAUACUGGAUAGCUCUAUUUCUCUUAUUGAUCCAGUGUUAUACUACAGGAGGAAACCCAAACUAAACUAACUUUAUACUGGAUAGCUCUAUCUGUUCUACAUUGUUCUCCUAGAAGUCCAAUAAGGAUCAUCGCUUAUCAGUGAUCUUUAUUAUUACUAUACUGCAACAUUCUAAUUCCAAUCAACGGAAAGACAAAUGUACUGACCAUUGACCAACAUCCCUAAAAUAGUGUUUCCAUUUAAAAAACAAAGCGCUAUACCUUUGAACAAUCAAUCGGCGUGGUCAUGAUUCGCAUCUUUACAUGUACAUCCCACACAACAGCUUUGGCGGUAAAAUCCUCACAUCUAUCAGAUCUGGAUCAAAUAUAAGAGAAUACGUUAUUACAUCCUGAACCCAAAAAAGAGUUAACUGCAGAUAUAUAUCAUGCCUGUGACAUUUGUAGCGGCAAGGAUAAUAAAAUAAAUGGAUAGGACUCUAGCUGACGUAAGCAAAAACAACCUAGUUGCAAUCUGUGACGUCACGCGUAUUGCAAAGUUCUCGGCAUUUUUGUUGUUUCGCUAUACAUUCCGCUUUAAAAGAGUAAUAUUGAAGCAUCAACUGGUCUAAUUGUUUUAAAAACAUGCCUAAACCACGACAAAGUAAGUAUUCAAGGUAAAUGUUUUUCGUCUUUGUUUUCUAUUUUUUUACAUUUGUAGCUACGAAAUUGGCGUCCCCAAUUUUAACGAAACUUGGGAUGCCUUUUUCACUGUUUAGUGCUUGAAAUAUUUGCUAAAAUUGACUGGGAAUACUUAGAGAUUUCAUCGUAGAAUGGCGUAGUUAUAUUCAUUUGCUCUUUGACUAAAAUGUUUAGCUGUAUUAUUGCUAAACAUGCCGUUUUUGAGAAUUUGGUUUGCAACUAGGUUUCAACAUCCAAUCACGCCAUCAGCCCAUUGAAAACAUUAGGUCACGUCAGCUAGUUUCCUAUCCAUUUAUUUUAUUAUCCAUGGUAGCGGAGAGUCCCUCACGCUACCUAGAACAGGGGAAAUUACAGCAUGCUUGCAUGGCCAGCCAACAACAACUGCUAUUUCGCUUUGUUACCCCUACGCAUUUUCCCCACCCCGCGAGUAACAUUUGAUGAUGCUUUUUAAGUAAGAUGAGUGCAGAAAUUGGGGCGAUGAGGCACACAAAGCCAUAUGUUCCACCUGCAACUCUACAAACUAUUUAUAAAACAUUAGUACAGCCUUAUUUUGAUUAUUAUUCCCUUUAUGGGACAAUUGCGGUAAAGUACUCCAAGAUAAACUGCAAAAAUUCCGCAAAUAUUAUUACCGGAGCCCACUACGAUGUUACAUCCGCUGAUAUGUUGGACACCUUAUACCUAUAUAGUCUUCGAAAUAGCGAAACAGAUUUAGCUCUUCCAAAACCUAAAACUAAAUUUCUAAAGAGAUCCUUUGGGUACAGUGGUUGCAUCUUGUGGAAUGAUCUUCCGCAAGAACUUAGGCAAACAGAAACCAUAAGUUCCUUUAAAAGAAGAUAGAGCAUAUAUAAUUAAUGUCGCCGGAUAUAGCAUUAAGUUUUUAAUAUAUUUCAUUCUUUUGGCUUGUGUUUUGUUUUCCUCUUUCUCAAUUUAUAUACUUGUAAAUAAUUCUAGAUAUUUUAGUAAUUCUGUCGCCCCUGUGGAAAUCAGCUGCAUAUAUAUAUAUAUAUAUAUAUAUAUAUAUAUAUAUAUAUAUAUAUAUAUAUAUAUAUAUAUAUAUAUAUAUAUAUAUAUAUAUAUAUAUAUAUAUAUAUAUAUAUAUAUAUAUAUAUAUAUAUAUAUAUGUUCGAGGCUAGCGUGAUUAUUGAAGAUAUAUGAGGCUAGCGUAGGCAUAUUGAAGAUAUGUGACGUGCGCCGGAAGUCUGGCUUGGCAGAAACCUCAAUGCAUGUAGACAAUAUCUAUAUAGUUAUUGAUGAUAUACCGUGGUUGAUGUAUCUUUAAUUAAAUUUUAAAUGGAUAAAAGGGCGUGUGAAUUGAACAAGGCACAUAUUAUUAGCACUGAUGAAGAUCCGGGCUUACGGAUCGAAAGCUUUGCAGUAAUAAAUUUACGUGGUGUUUCCACAAACAAUAGUAUUAUAUAUGUUUUAUCGCCAUGCAAACCUACAAAGAACUCAAUAUCUAUAUAAACACUCAACAUGUUUGUCAAAUAUUGUCUCAUCUGCUGACAUUUACAUAAUUUCAUCUAAUCUAUGUCGACUUUCGACCCAAGGCACAAUAAAAACCAGCUGUUCGGUAAGCAGAAAGCCCGUUAUCUAUUCAAAUGAAUUCAAAAAUUUGGAAAUUGGUUUUGCAAACUUUUCCCAAUUUCCCCCUGGGUCAAUAAAGGAUAUUUUUUACUGGACCUCUAGGGAGAACAGUUUGGAAUUGAUAAAAUUUUCCAGCAUAAAUAAUUUAAAAUUAGUUUAGUUUAAGUUUCCUCCUGUAGCAACACUGGAUCAAUAAGAUCCUUACUGGACCUCUAGGGAGAACAGUUUACAACUGACAGUAUAAAAAAACUUACUUUAGAUAAUUAAAGUUAGUCUAGUUUAGGGUUCCUCCUGCAGUAACAGCAGAUCAAUAAGAUAUGAUCUUUACUGGACCUCUAGGGAGAACAGUUGGCUACUGACAGUAUAAAUAAACUUAGUUUAGACAAUUAAAGUUAGUUUAGUUUAAGGUUCCUCCUUUAGUAACACUAGAUCAACAAGGAUCAAGGAAUAACGAGAACAGUUUAGAAUUGAUACAGCUAUCAAUCUAAUAUUAAAAAGGUAGUUUUGUUUAAAUCAACGAUAAACGCACAACAUAAAAACAAUUUUGAAUAUAUUUACACCCAUUACAUUAACUCUAACCAAUAUCAAUUAUUCAAGAAGGUCAACUACUUUCCCAUUUUAAAACCACAAAGAACAUGAAAUGAAGCCAUUAUCGCAAAUCAUCUUCAACUAACGUCUUAAAUGGUUUGGAAUCUACAUUUGUUUCUCAUUGGGCAAUACGCCUUAAAGCACUUAUAAGUGUUGAGUGUUUGUUAUUUUUUUAACCCUAUGACAACGAAGGACUCCCAUCGAUCACUAAAGGACCCCUCGUUCAAGCCAUUGGGAAGGCUACCUUUUUGAAGAAGAGACAAGAUACUCCAGCGUCUGUAGUAUUCUACAAUAAUCUGUUGUGGUUUGUGUCUAACUACCGGGGGAAAACCUCUCAAAGGUGGGCGUCCAGUGCAGGUAGUAUUCUACAAUAAGCUGUCGUGGUUUGUGUCUGAACUACCUGAAAAAGAUAUCUCAAACGUGGUGGUCCAGUGUAGGUAGUAUUCUACAAUAAGCUGUCGUGGUUUGUGUUUGAACUACCUGAAGAAGAUAUCUCAAACGUGGUGGUCCAGUGUAGGUAGUAUUCUACAAUAAGCUGUCGUGGUUUGUGUCUGAACUACCUGAAAAAGAUAUCUCAAACGUGGUGGUCCAGUGUAGGUAGUAUUCUACAAUAAGCUGUCGUGGUUUGUGUUUGAACUACCUGAAGAAGAUAUCUCAAACGUGGUGGUCCAGUGUAGGUAGUAUUCUACAAUAAGCUGCCGUGGUUUGUGCCUGAACUACAUGAAAAAGAUAUCUCAAACGUGGUGGUCCAGUGUAGGUAGUAUUCUACAAUAAGCUGUCGUGGUUUGUGUCUGAACUACCUGAAAAAGAUAUCUCAAACGUGGUGGUCCAGUGUAGGUAGUAUUCUACAAUAAGCUGUCGUGGUUUGUGUCUGAACUACCUGAAAAAGAUAUCUCAAACGUGGUGGUCCAGUGCAGGUAGUAUUCUACAAUAAGCUGUCGUGGUUUGUGUCUGAACUACCUGAAAAAGAUAUCUCAAACGUGGUGGUCCAGUGGAGGUAGUAUUCUACAAUAAGCUGUCGUGGUUUGUGUCUGAACUACCUGAAAAAGAUAUCUCAAACGUGGUGGUCCAGUGUAGGUAGUAUUCUACAAUAAGCUGCCGUGGUUCGUGUCUGAACUACCUGAAAAUAUAUCUCAAAAGCUAUAGGUAAUUUCAGUGACUGUUGUCGUGUUAGCCUGAGUGUCAGACGAAUAUCGUUAUUCGUCUGACACUCAGGCUAUUGUCGUGUCUAAGUGGCUAUUUGUUUAAUUAGAGAAAGACAAAUGGAGACGAAAAGCUUAAUGUUAAUGAAGUAAUACACAGAUCUAGGAGGAAACUUAUAUUGAUAAAACUAACUUUACACUGGAUAGCUCUAUCAGUUCUAAACUGUUCCCCCUAGAGGUCCAGUAAGAAUCAUCUUUUAUUGAUCCAGUCUUACUAUACAGGGGGAAACCUAAACUAAAUUAACUUUAUUUGCACUGGAUAGCUCUAUCAUUUCUAAACUGUUCUUCUUAGAGGCCUAUAAAGGAUAAUCUCUUAUUGAUCUAGUGUUACUACAGGAGGAACCUAAACUAAACUAACUUUAUUUACACUGGAUAGCUCUAUCAGUUCUGAAAUGUUUUUCCUAGAGGUCCAGUAAGGAUCAUCUCUUAUUGAUCCAGUGUUACUACAGGAGGAAACCUAAACUAAACUAACUUUAUUUAUACUGGAUAGCUCUAUCAGUUCUAAACUGUUCUUCCUAGAGGUCCAGUAAAGAUCAUCUCUUAUUGAUCCAGUGUUACUACAGGAGAAAACCUAAACUGAACUAACUUUAUUUAUACUGGAUAGUUCUAUCAGUUCUAAACUGUUCUCCCUAGAGGUCCAGUAAGAGUCAUCUCUUAUUGAUCCAGUGUUACUACAGGAGGAAACCUAAACUAAACUAACUUUAUUUAUACUGGAUAGCUCUAUCAGUUCUAAACUGUUCUUCCUAGAGGUCCAGUAAGGAUCAUCUCUUAUUGAUCCAGUGUUACUACAGGAGGAAACCAAAACUAAACUAACUUUAUUUUAUUUCGAAAACAGAUUUGCCACGUCAUGAGUAACCAUAACAACACAACCAACGCAACGCAGACCAACGAUACCGAAGGCACGAAUGAAGUACUAUUCAUCACACAAAUUAUUUGCUACUGCGUGAUCAGUAUCGUGGGGUCCCUCGCGAACGUGGUCAUUUGCGUGGGCCUCUCGCGUGGACGCCUCAAAUCGAGCGAAUAUUUUAUACUAAACCUCGCAAUUGCAGACUUAUUAGUUUGCGCCAUUGGAAUACCGCUGGACAUCUACGAGAAGUACGCGGGCUCGUGGCCAUACGGAACUUUCUUGUGUCACGUGAUAUACCCGUCCCAGACCCUUCUCAUACUCAUCUCAAUCUUGACUUUAAUGGGAAUGAGCCUGGAGCGACACAGGGCCAUAUGUAGCCCCCUCAAGCAACGGUGAGUAUCGCGGACUAAAUUUCAGCUUAGUAUAGGUAAUCAUGCGAUGGCGAGUACAAUUAGGGAUUAAUAGUACGAGUGAUGUUUGGAAAUUUUGCCAAAAUUGGACGAGCCGCCGGGGCGAGUCCAAUUUGGCAAAUUUCCAAACAUCACGAGUACCAUUAAUCCCUAAUUGUACGAGCAACAUCGCAUGAUUACUUGUUUAUUAUUAACAUGACAAAAUUGGAUACGUACUUCUCAAUGUCAGCAUCAUAUUCUCUCGCCAAAGCCCAGUCCCGCCAGACUUUCAACCAAAAUUUGGUGCUUUUGUUUGUAUUUUCAUUUAGUUCUUUUGUUAAAGCAAAAUUUGGUGAUUUUGUUCGUAUUUUCAUCUAGUUCCUCCACGGCAAUUUCAUUUCACGCUUGAGUUUAAAAUACGUUUCCGCCAUUUUGUUUGUUUUGGGAAAAUCAUUAAUG